UAAUAUAUUUAAGAUUGGUACAAUUAAGGGUAUAUAUACUUAUUAAAGGAGUACAAAAUAAUAAGAUUAAAAAUAUAUAGAAUAGGCUUACGGAAAAGGGGUUAAGGGGAUAAAGGAAUAAACUAAAAUCUUUUAUUCACCAAAUUCAUGUAAAGAAUGAAAAUUAAUAAAAAAAAAAAUUGUAAUACAUUUGGGUUAAAUUUAUUUAUAUAUAAAAUUACUUUAUGAUAAAAAACGGUUUAAUUUCUUUUAGCUAAUGUAUAGAAAUUAAACCGUUUUGUUUAUCAUAAAGUAAUUUUAUAUACACAUGUUAUUAUUUCGCAAUGUUAACAAAGGUUU